GAUGAACGCUAGCGACAGGCCUAACACAUGCAAGUCGAGGGGCAUCACAUGAAGUAGCAAUACGGAUGGUGGCGACCGGCGCACGGGUGAGUAACACGUAUGCAACCUGCCUUCAACAAGGGGAUAACCCGUUGAAAGACGGACUAAUACCCUAUAACACAGGGGUCCCGCAUGGGAAUAUUUGUUAAAGGACAACCGGUUGAAGAUGGGCAUGCGUUCCAUUAGCUAGUUGGCGGGGUAACGGCCCACCAAGGCAACGAUGGAUAGGGGAACUGAGAGGUUUAUCCCCCACACUGGUACUGAGACACGGACCAGACUCCUACGGGAGGCAGCAGUGAGGAAUAUUGGUCAAUGGACGCAAGUCUGAACCAGCCACGUCGCGUGAAGGAAGACGGCCCUACGGGUUGUAAACUUCUUUUAUACGGGAAUAAAGUGCCCCACGCGUGGGGUUUUGCAUGUACCGUAUGAAUAAGGAUCGGCUAACUCCGUG
rnacentral:rRNA from 1 species